rnacentral:rRNA from 1 species
GAUGAACGCUGACAGAAUGCUUAACACAUGCAAGUCAACUUGAAUUUGGGUUUUUAACUUAGGUUUGGGUGGCGGACGGGUGAGUAACGCGUAAAGAACUUGCCUCACAGCUAGGGACAACAUUUGGAAACGAAUGCUAAUACCUAAUAUUAUGAUAAUAGGGCAUCCUAUAAUUAUGAAAGCUAUAAGCGCUGUGAGAGAGCUUUGCGUCCCAUUAGCUAGUUGGAGAGGUAACGGCUCACCAAGGCGAUGAUGGGUAGCCGGCCUGAGAGGGUGAUCGGCCACAAGGGGACUGAGGCACGGCCCUUACUCCUACGGGAGGCAGCAGUGGGGAAUAUUGGACAAUGGACCAAGAGUCUGAUCCAGCAAUUCUGUGUGCACGAUGAAGUUUUUCGGAAUGUAAAGUGCUUUCAGUUGGGAAGAAAGAAAUGACGGUACCAACAGAAGAAGUGACGGCUAAAUACGUGCCAGCAGCCGCGGUAAUACGUAUGUCACGAGCGUUAUCCGGAUUUAUUGGGCGUAAAGCGCGUCUAGGUGGUUAUGUAAGUCUGAUGUGAAGAUGCAGGGCUCAACUCUGUAUUGCGUUGGAAACUGUAUAACUAGAGUACUGGAGAGGUAAGCGGAACUACAAGUGUAGAGGUGAAAUUCGUAGAUAUUUGUAGGAAUGCCGAUGGGGAAGCCAGCUUACUGGACAGAUACUGACGCUGAAGCGCGAAAGCGUGGGUAGCAAACAGG